AACGAACGCUGGCGGCAGGCCUAACACAUGCAAGUCGAGCGGACCCUCCGGGGUUAGCGGCGUACGGGUGAGUAACGCGUGGGAAUAUGCCCUUCUCUACGGAAUAGUCCUGGGAAACUGGGGGUAAUACCGUAUACGCCCUUUGGGGGAAAGAUUUAUCGGGGAAGGAUUAGCCCGCGUUGGAUUAGGUAGUUGGUGGGGUAAUGGCCUACCAAGCCGACGAUCCAUAGCUGGUUUGAGAGGAUGAUCAGCCACACUGGGACUGAGACACGGCCCAGACUCCUACGGGAGGCAGCAGUGAGGAAUCUUAGACAAUGGGGGCAACCCUGAUCUAGCCAUGCCGCGUGAGUGAUGAAGGCCUUAGGGUUGUAAAGCUCUUUCAGCUGGGAAGAUAAUGACGGUACCAGAAGAAGAAGCCCCGGCUAACUCCGUG
rnacentral:rRNA from 1 species